UUUAAUGAUUUCCUGCUGGGCCUUUUUAAUGUUCAGAAUUGGCCGCCUUUGAAAUACUUAGCUCCUCAGCAAAUUUGCCUUCAGUCUUGUGUUUCUUCUCCACUGAAGGUUACUCUGAAAUUUUCACCUUUUGCUUUCAGAUGUUUAUAUUUAAAGGUGCCCACUGCUAGCAUGAAGAAUGUUUACCUCUCCUUGAGCUCGGAGUUCAUAAUGCUGUUUGAACACUCUGUGUGCUGCGGGAGAGGCGACGUUGAAAGGAUAACCAAUCGCUUUGGAGCACUACCAUUUUUUAAUUCAGACUCAGCACCGUGGGUCUCCUCUCUGGGAGCCUUCACUGGUAGUGGAGGCUGAAGCUCCAGAGUCUGGAAGCAGCGAUCUCUUGGGCAAGUUUCCUACAGGAGGAGCAGAAGCCAGUCCCAGAGAGCACGACAGAGAACAAAUGUAUUUUCAUGAUAUACAGAACAAACAAGUUUUUGCACUGAUCUGGGCUUAGCAAACUCUACUGUGCGGUAAGUGGUAAAUGUAUUAUUCUACUGUGUCAUAUAAAGGAUUAUUUCGGAUGUUUGAAAUAAUGCAUAUAGUUAAAGGUUAUGGUAGAAUAACGUUAGAGAAAUUCAUUGUUUCUGGACCUGAUGGUAAUACGAAUGAUAAAAAGGUGAUGACUAUUAGAGCCUUGAAGCAUUACAGUCAUUUUACUAUGAUAAUAGUCCUCAGAUUUGGUUAUAGCCCUAAUACGUUACCUGAAAGUUAAAAUCAGUUUCUCAGGUCUCUUGCCACAUAAUGAUUACUUAUUGUCUAGAAUGCAAUUUCUGAAAGAAAAUGAGAGUUGAUCUUGAGGAUAAAUCCUGGUUUCUUUUAUCUUUUUCCUUUUUCUUCUUUUCUUAAGAAGAGCUAAACAUGGAGCUUGUAUUUCAGAGAAGGAAUCAAUUUAGGCUCAUCAUUUCUAGCUUGAAAUACACCAAGACAAAUAUCUCUCCUGCUCCGUGUUUUUAUCACUCUUGGUACCGGACCGCAGGCGCAUAAUGUUUCUGGUGUUAGAUGCAAUACACCAAAGCUGUCAAGUGACUGAGCGCUUCAAACCAGACCCUACAGAUUGUUUUGUUUUACUUUUGAGAUACCUUAAACAGGCAUGUGCGAAGGAGCAGCUCACAGAAACCUGUCCCGGCUGCUAGGCUUGUUUGGGGGGCACAGUGCUGUCUGCCUGAAGGACACGGGCUCUAAGAUGCCUCUCCUCAGAGUGCCAGCCUUCCCCUUCUGUGCAGGAGUGCGCAGCAGGAGAAAGGAGUCAGGGUCACAAUUGUUGCUCCUUCCCUACCACACCAGACAGCGGUCCCAGCUCGGUUUCGAAACGGUGCCCAUUAUCAUAAUAUUAGCACUUUACAAUGCUUAAUGUGUGUUUAAUCCAUCAUUUUCAGGACUCUCAAAUGAAGGACUCACCGUCCCUGAUCUCCGCUACCAGUGCAAAAAAAAAUACCGAUUGCAAUCUUAGCCAUAACAAGGUCGCACAGUAAAGCACAUAUCAGAAGAAAGUCUAAUAAUAAUUUUCGUUGUGUGUAAUAAGUAUAUAAUAAUGUUUAGAAGAAGAACGGUGAAAGUCAAAGCUUUUCCUCUAUUCCUGAUUCUGCCUCUGCAUUGAAACACACACACAAAAGACAAGGGAAAAGAUGGAAGAGGAUGAGAGUAAUAUUCCAGCUAAAGCUGAACUGGUUCCAGACAAACUGUAAAAGAAACGGAAUGGUGUCACAAUUAUGACAAUGCAGAAUAGAAAUUCAAUAUUCGUUCUGUAGUUUGUGCUCUGCUUUACCUUAGGGACUAGGAAAUGUUUGAUUAAAAGGGGAGUCAUGUUGGCAGGGUGCAUUAUUCAUUCCAGAUUUUACUUUUGUAACUCAGGAUAGUCAAAUACAAUUCUUACCCCAGAAUCUGUCUGAUGUCUCUGUAUUUCUGGAGCUUCACACAGGUGAUUGGAAAUCAAACAUUCAGGGGAGAUACUGCAGUUAAGUAUUAAACCUGACAGCUUUUAUAUGUCUAGUACAAUAAUUGAUUUCAUGUUAUGCUAACCUACUCUGCAGGUUAAAGCAGCACGGAUAGUUCCAUUUCAUAGAGUAGUCACUGAAUUUUUACUUUUAAGGUUUUAAAAGCACUGAGGCAAUUUACAUUUCUAUUUUCCUUUUAAAACAUUUAUAUAAUUGAAGAAUACAGUGAACACUUGCUCAGACAAAGGGACAAAUUCAACCCCAAAAAUUCCACUGAGAAAAAAAAAAAAAAGUAAAAAAAAUAAUCAGUAAAAUACUAAAAAUAAGUUAACUUCUUGAAGGGAGAGGUUAUAUGUUUAUUUUCUUUCUCUUUGUUCUGGUCAAUUUACUACCUGCCUGUGCCGCCUUGUUGGAGCGGGGAGCUGAGGAGCGCUUGGCAGUGGCAACAGUCCGAGCAAUUUCUGGCAUUCCAGAGUUUAAAGGCAAACAAACUAAAUACUCUAUUAAGCAAUAUGGUUCCAAAAAUACAUUGGUAUAAUGUCACUGCUGACAAAUUUUGGAUUCACGCACCUUCUUCUUGACCAGAAAGGUUUCAGAGAAGAACUCUCCAGUGUCCUUGGUGGAAGAGGUUUUUCCCAGGUAAUCCUCAGGCUGGAGUAAACUGUUUCUUACAAUGCAACAAAAUGGAAAUUAAUCUGUAUUCAAAAGCACUGCUCUUUUUUAAGAAUUCACAUAUAUUAAUAUUAGGGAAAAAAAGGUGGGAUUCACAGAGUAUUGUUGGACAUGAUGCAAGUUGUCUACCUUUCCAGGUACGUAACCCUUUCCAUCUACUUCAGGUUCAUCUCAACCAGUCCGCAGAGUGAUUUAAAUGCGGGUCUCCUACUUUUCAGGAAGCUCCCUAAACUGAAAAUAAGAUGGGCUAGGUUGAACUGCCUUUAAUCUUCCCAGGUAUUACUGUUUCACUUAAAUACAUAUUAUACCUGGAAAAGACAGGCUGCUUCCGUGGGCAGCUGCUCCAGGCACUUGAUUCCCACCCCGACCUCACUCAACAGACAUACCUGUUAUGCCAGGUGGAAAACCAUUAACUUCAGGAUUAAUUCAUGAGAUAAUAUCUUUUUACCUACUGUUACAGGUAACUGCCAUGACCCUGCGCCUGCUGAAGUAAAAGAAUUUCUACUUUGUGUUGGCGUGUUGAUGGACAACAGGAGAAUUCCACCCAGAUACUGCGCUGAAUCUCUAAUUAACAACAAGGAGAGAAAGAGAGCUUGUUUUGACUUACCACUUGGAGAGCUACAGGGAUGAGGAACUCCACUGGACCAAAAGCCCAUCCUCGUUUUCUCUGUGUAUUUCACGUCACACUUUGUUACACUCAGGGUGUUCACUUUGCGUGGCUGUGUUUGGUUUUUUUUGUUUCCCGAUGCGUACAUCUGAUAACUGCCAGAACUGGAAAGAAGAUGAGUAAAAUAACAAUAAUUAUGCUUAAUCACACUGAGACUAUCAGAAUCCGGUAAAUAAAUAAGCAUUUCCCAUGCUUGCUUCUUAAUCCUAAAAUCAAUGUAAUCUGAUUAUUUUCCUAAUCCUACUGGAAAUCAGAGGUUCCUGUAGGCUUUAGAGAAACUCCUUGGACUGAAGUUCAGUGGGAGCUGGUAACCUGAUUUCUGUAGAGCCCACUUAAGAGUUCAACUGUAAAAUUAGACCAAAACAUUAAAUACUUUAAAAGUGAUUUGGGAUGUCGUCAUUGAUAAGUGCCUAUCAAGUCAUCCAAAAUGUUUUCUUCCCCCCAAAAAACGUGGGCAAAAUUUUGUCUAAGAAACAUGGACACAAUCAAAUUUGCUCACUAUUUUAAAAAGUAAUCACGUGUCAUAACAUUCAAACAAACCACAACACAUGUAACAGAGAGACAUUGUAUACAUAACAAAGAUCUUUCAAACUGACAUAGAUUUGUAUGACAUUCACUAAUUAGGUGAAUUUUAUACCUAUUAAAUUAACCAAUAUGAAACACUGUGUGAACCCUCUUAAUUCAAUUCCAGUCCAGUUCUAUUUGCUUUGGGAAAUGUACAAGUAGAAACUCAAUCAAGGAAGAACA